AUAAAGCGCUUCUGUCGUGAGUGGCAUGGUACAUGCCUUGCUUGCUCUUUGUGCAGAAUCGACAUCAAGAGAUUUUGGAAGCAUAAUUUUUGCUGCUAGGGCAGCGACCUU
rnacentral:snRNA from 1 species